rnacentral:rRNA from 1 species
UGGCGGCAGGCCUAACACAUGCAAGUCGAGCGGUAACAUUUCUAGCUUGCUAGAAGAUGACGAGCGGCGGACGGGUGAGUAACGCGUAGAAAUCUACCUAGUAGUGGGGGAUAGCCCAGAGAAAUUUGGAUUAAUACCGCAUACGCCCUACGGGGGAAAGCGGGGGAUCUUCGGACCUCGUGCUAUUAGAUGAGUCUGCGUCGGAUUAGCUUGUUGGUGAGGUAAUGGCUCACCAAGGCGACGAUCCGUAGCUGGUCUGAGAGGAUGACCAGCCACACUGGAACUGAGGCACGGUCCAGACUCCUACGGGAGGCAGCAGUGGGGAAUAUUGCACAAUGGGCGCAAGCCUGAUGCAGCCAUGCCGCGUGUGUGAAGAAGGCCUUAGGGUUGUAAAGCACUUUCAGCAGUGAGGAAAGGGGUGUCGUUAAUAGCGCCAUCCUGUGACGUUAACUGCAGAAGAAGGACCGGCUAACUCCGUG